AUACGAAGGUCCCAAGCGUUGUUCGGAUUUACUGGGCGUAAAGCGUCUGUAGGCGGCGUGGUAAGUCAGAUGUGAAAUCCCGGGGCUCAACCCCGGAACUGCAUCCGAUACUGCCAUGCUAGAGUAUUGGAGGGGAGUCUGGAAUUCUCGGUGUAGCAGUGAAAUGCGUAGAUAUCGAGAGGAACACUAGUGGCGAAGGCGAGACUCUGGACAAUUACUGACGCUGAGAGACGAAGGCCAGGGUAGCGAAAAGGAUUAGAAACCCUAGUAGUCC
rnacentral:rRNA from 1 species